UUUGCAAUUCCCUCGAGAUGCGUCAGCCGUUCCCAGGCGUGAAUUUGCUGUUCCAGCUCACAACUCUGGGAAGUACCCUCUUGUCUUAAUGAGGAUCAGGGCUUCAGCUGAGUACAGUCGAAGGAGAUUCCACAGAGAAAAUGAUUUGACUUGAAACUUGAAGGCUAAUUGUUGGAAUCCUUACAAACUGCUAACUAAUUAGAGUUGAUCUAAUCUUACAAGAAGAUGUUUUGGGCAGAACCUGAAACGAGGUACUAAGUAGGACUAAUUAAUACAAGGCUUGUGUUUACACCUUUACUCAUUGGAGUUCACAAGUAUGUCAGCUUCACAAAGUAAACUUUGUACCUUUAUGAGUUCACACCUCCCUUGAAGCUCUUUGGGCCAGAGAGCACUAUGGGAGAAAACCCAUAAUCCUUCUCUCUCGUAUCCCACAAUUCCUCUCUCUUGGAUAAAAGAAACAGACAGAGGCUCUCGGGGAGAUUUCACCGGAGUGACAUGAAGAGUGGUGCUGGCUCUGGAGGCUGAAGAAAGCAGAGGCAGAAGCAAAGGACAAAGCGGCAAGAGCUCUUGGAACCAAGCAGAGAUAGGCCUCUAAGCUAACCGGGCUAUAUUGGAGAUAAUAAAAGAUCUGAACUUUUAUCACCUGGCUGCAUUUGGGAAGAAGAUCACCACAGCUAAUCUCCUCUGUGAUCUUAGGAGACAUUGAGGGCUACCAGCAUAGACUCUCUGUGACAAACUUAUGUGAGAAGAAAUACAGGAGUUGUACAAGGUGGAAGAAGAUAUGGAUGGACUGUGUUCUCUUUCACGAGAAGCAAUAUCUAGAUCCUAUGAAGAAGAGGAUCAUGUUUGUCAAAAACUUCAUCUGAAGCCAAACUGAAAUGAAAGAGACGCUAUACUAUAGUAAUUCCAGUGGAUUGGUGCUGAGCGCAAAAGUGCCUGAAGAUGCUAGAUGUCCAGAAGAACAAUGUCUAGUGGAAUAGAAUCUCUACUUGAGCAAUUUGAUGAUAUUCUUGGAAGCCAUCAGCUCCUCUGCAGUACUGGAGGCAUAAGUUGCCCCUUUGCAUAUAUGCAUUGGUCAAGCAGGUCCCCUGCAAGUAUUUUUUAACAAUUGUAUAUUGCAAGUGUGUUUUGAGGUUCAUGGGGAAAUGUUUAUUUGCUACUUUUUACUCUACCAUUUCAUAAAGUAUCUUUAUUUUGAAGUAAUUGUAUCUUCUGGCUUAAAGGUUAUCUGUAGGAGUUCACAAGUUUUUAGUGGUAUAAAGUAAGUACUUUGAACUAUCUCCCAGAGAAUUACCCUGCAAAUUCAGAGGAGGCCCCAAGCACCAGAUUUCCUUUUUCAUAAUUCAUAAACUUCAUUAAACAAUGUAUUAACUUACAUUGGACUAGAUGUUAGACAUUGCCUAAAAAUCACCCAUUCCCUUAGAGUUAUAUUCCCUGGGAAUGAGUUAGGAACUACAGGAAGCCAGGUGAUGUAAGCACUAAAAAAUGUUUCUUAUUCAAUAUCUCUUUUUCUAAGAGAGAAAAAUUCUUCAAUGAAAUAAAUAUCUUAUUUAGGCAGCUCUCUUAGGAAUUUAAGUUACAGAGGAAGUGCCAAUAUUCAUUGGUAGAAAGAGUUUCUUAUUAAGAAUGCCUUACACUGAUAUUGAUGAAGACUGAAAUGAGAAGGGGGGAGAGGGAAGAAAAGGGAGAAAAGAAAGGAGGGAGGGAGGGAGAAGGGGGAAGAGGAAAGGAGAGAAAAAAAGAGGGAGGGAGGAAGAGGAGAAAGGGAGGGGAGAAGGAACAAGGGAGGGAAAGAAAUUGUUAAAUUGUAAAUGAAAAACAUAAUAUUCUUUCAUCUGAAGGGUGAUACUGGUUUAUGAAAUAUCUGAGGAAUCUUCAAUUGGCACUGGCACAAAAUGAAUGUUAACACAAAAUUAGUGUUAACCCCAUACUGUGCUUGAUUAAUAAAGACUUUUUAUUUUUUCAACAGACUGGACAGAACCUUAGACUAAGACUCAUGUGGGCCAAGAGGCACAGAAAACUCCCCUUGGGAAUCCAGACUUGGUCAAGUGCUUGGGAACGGUGUCAGAGAAGAAAAGCAGAUUUCCAGCUAUGUUAGGUUGACUGCAACACUUAUCAAUAUGAAGCCUGGUCAGAGCAAGAAUGGAAGGCCAUCAGUCUGUAAAUAACUUGCACUGACAGAAGAUUGCAAAGUCCGAACCCAGACCAAGAAAAACAUGCUUGGACACGUCCAUGCUGGAGCUUCCCAAAGGCAGAAUGAUAAUGGGAACAUAAAAAUAUUCAACAAGAAUAUUCCUUUAUUCUUCUACAGUUGAAAUACUCAAGUCCAGUUACUUUCUUUGGAGAAAAUUUGGAGAAAAUUCAUGAGAAUUUAAGUGAAAAGUUGAGGUCAGCCAGAUACACUGAAGAAGGCUUGUUGUGGUCUGGAAGGAAAAGAGUAUGGAAAAAUUCUUGCUAUUCCUAAGAGGGAGGGAAAAAAAAAAAAAAAAACAUUUAACUUGGCCUCAUCAAGACAAAUAAAACUUGGGUGGCAGAAGGGGAAAGAGGAGAAAGAAUGUUCUUAAAGUUUCUUCACAAAGUGGAACAAUUCUUUGUGAAGUAAACUGAUUCUUGAGUUGGAUCAGAAGGUAUCUACAUGGUAGAUAAUAUGAAGAUAAUAGAUUAUUUUAAAUCAUGAUGAGAAUUUGAAUUUCAUUCUUUUGAUGAUAGUGGGGGAAUAAUAAUAAUUGAAAUUUACAUGGCACUUUAAGGUUUGCAGGGUCCUGUCUUCACAAAAAUCCCAUGAAAUAGGUAGGAUAAGAUUUUUAUUUUGUUUCUGUUUUGAGGUUGGCUGUUCCUAUUUUAAUCAGGAUGAAAUUGCAUUGGGCAUUAUGGUCUUGAUCCCACUGUUCAUCAGCAUGAAAGUUGAUUUUUCCAGUUUGAGCAGAUUUGCCCCUUUUUAGACAGACUAAUAAACUCUGUUCCUGGGA